AAAAUAAAAAUAAAAAAGAAGAAGAAGAAGAAGAAAAAAAGAGAGGAGUCUUUAUGUCUCGUUACCAAGGACCUCGUUUUCAAAAAAAUACGCCAUCUGGGUGCUUUACCUGUUAGCCUUUCACCUAACUAUGGAGAAGGAAUCCCACCAACUCCAGCCUUGACAUCCCACAAAGGUUUUACCUACUGCAUCCCACAGUAGAGCAGUUUUGAAUCCCAUAAAACCAUGCUCCUCUCACAGAACUCACAAGCUCAAGGCUAAAUUAUUUCAAAUCAAUGGGAGUGGUUUUGAAUUUAAUUUAUUACCCCUUACUCUUUAUUUAUAACUUCAUGGAAACAAGCAAAAUAGGAAAAUGAAGUCUAUUGUUGUUUAGUAGGGAGAAUCUCUUACAAAAAGUCACUCUUCAAAAGAGACGCUAUUCUAGAACAUUACAAAUAGAACCUAACUACUUAAUCCCAUAUAGGACUUUAAUCCUUUAAUAUUUGAGCUUAUAGAAUUGGACCAUUACGACAGUGAACCCAAAAAUAUAGAGCCCAUAGCCCAUACAACCCGUGGGGCACUCAAAUUAAGCAUAUUAAUCCCUUCUUGGUUCAGUUUGAUGGCCUGGUAUCUUGCUGACCUUAUUGUUCUUUUGAACUACAUCAACGACUCAACUCAAAUCAGCCUUACGGUUAUCCAACUGCAUAGGAUCGUUUACAUAGAUCUUCGGUCUCCAAUCAACUCUAUUCAAAGCCAUACUUGUUACUAGCCCUAUACUAUGCAUGUCUUUCUUCACCACUUCCCCUAAAGUGGUCAAGGAAUAUGAUAGUCAUCUCAAAUAAAAAAAAUGACUUUAAAUGCUUUCAAUUCAUUCGAUUCCUUAAUCAAGCCUUACUAGAUCACAGAUGAUGGUCAUUGGGAUGGCCAUAAAAGUUUCUGAGACUUCAUUUGUAGUUGAACUCCGUUUGCAGGUAACUUUCCUUAGCUUGCCUGGGUCAGGGAUAUAUGAAGACGGGAAAGAUGUUAAUUGCUCGAGAUUCUACGACUCACUGACCAUCAAAUUGGGCUUUAAGCUGCCAUUCACCCACAAGAUUUUCCAAGAUCCAUGAACCAUGAUAUAUAAUUUGAUAGUGGAGGAGAUUCAGUUACCUUGAUUGUAUAUGAUGGCUUAGGGGUAUAGCCCAUGAAGGGUUUUUCAUUUCAUUAGAGAAGCUGUGGCUGUGGCCGGAUUCUCAUAUCUUAUUCUAUUGGUCAGUUCAGACAAUUCCUGAUGGAUGAUUUAACCAGAAGUGUGCUUCUAGGUGUUCCAUGGUCAUCGGUUAUGACAUCACAGGAUGAUCUACCAAUCCAGAAUUCAAAUUCUCCUGAUUAUAAUAUUAUAUUGUUACCUCCCCUUCUUUUGGGUCCUCCAGACCUCUUCGUUGACAUUUGAUAAUCCUUCCUCUCUUUCCCAAUGGAAUUUGAAAAGGAUCCCAGGUCUUCUACUCACAUUUCAAGUUUCCGCCUUAUGUAGUUUACCAAAUGGAAAAAUAGGGCUUUGAAAAAUCCGGGAAAUGGGACAGAGUACUGGUCAGGUUACAAUCCACUGUCCAUUUGAUUCAUGCCAAUAAACCAGAGGGUGGUAUAUGGUUGAAUUUGUGUUUGAAAUUUUGUAUGUGGCCUAUCAGGAAUGUCUCCUGUUUAUCCAACAGUUUAAAAUUGCCACAUGGCAAAACUAGGGAUCCCAUAGCUUCUCUACACUGGAACAUGUAAAGGCAAAAUUGUCUUGUAGAAUAAAAGCUGCUGUUUCUCUGUCCUUGAUUUCUGUCAACUUUUGGGUUCUGCCCCAUGAUUUUAGAAUUACUAUGGAGACCUUUGUAGCAAAGAUUUUGAAGCAUAUUUAUAAUUAAUGAAAGAUUUCAAAGCAUACAAUCUCUAUACUAAUGAGAAUGAGAAGAAAACAUUGUAUUCUUUUUCAAUGCCAAGGUGUUCAUCCAUGGUUCUGCUAAAUCAUUUGAUUUUUGAUGCUGCUUACUUUCCAUUGAUGCCUUAUUUUGCACUAUCCAUUUUUGACCAAGUUGUCUAAGAUUCUUGAAAUCCUGAAGAAUGUAAGCAAAUUUUCCUAGAUUUUAGCAUAUGAGUUGAGCUUUUAGCCUUUAGAUUUGAGUAUUUCAGAAGUCUGCUUCUUUAUGUACUGAGUGGUUUGCCUACAUUGCUGCUUCUUCCGGACAGUGCGUAGUAGAAAAUUACUACUCAACAGUUAUGUUUCUGCUUAUAUGUAGGAGGAUGAAAGAAUCAGAAAGAACAGGCUUGCACUCCUGAAGAAAAUUGCAGAUCUUCCAAGAGGAAUAGCAGACCUCUCAGUUUUGCCUGGAUUUUGACCAUCUCCAUUCAAUUAUAGCUUGAGAGAUUUGGGACCAGUUCUGCAAGGAGGACAAUUCUGAGAGUUUCCAAUGUAAUUCUCUCAGCAAUCAAGGAAACUUUUCAGUAAAUUGUAACAAUGUCAAAGGUAUUCAGGUCAUUUGCAUUUGGUCAGGAUUCAGAUCUUGGAUAUGCCAGAGACUAUAUGAUUUGUGAAUACAAUAGGCACUGGAGCAGUUUUAUUGGGAAUAUUAAGAUAUUUAGUCCAAGGUUCGAGGCAAAAGAAUACUCUUACUGGUUAUCCAGAGUAACAGACUACCAGUGUACACAUUGGCUUGGAGGGAAUCCUGAUAUGAUAUAAAAAUAAUAAAUUUUUUUGGGUA